rnacentral:rRNA from 1 species
GCCUACGGGACGCAGCAGUGAGGAAUAUUGGUCAAUGGGGGAAGCCCUGAUGCAGCAACGCCGCGUGAGUGAAGAAGUAUUUCGGUAUGUAGAGCUCUAUCAGCAGGGAAGAAAAUGACGGUACCUGAGUAAGAAGCCCCGGCUAACUACGUGCCAGCAGCCGCGGUAAUACGUAGGGGGCAAGCGUUAUCCGGAUUUACUGGGUGUAAAGGGAGCGUAGACGGCGAUGCAAGUCUGAAGUGAAAGCCCGGGGCUCAACCCCGGGACUGCUUUGGAAACUGUAUGGCUGGAGUGCUGGAGAGGCC